CAAUUGAUAGUUUAAUUAGAAUAAUAAUUUUGGAGAUUAUAGGUAUAAAUUUGUUUAUUUAAUUG
rnacentral:tRNA from 1 species